AUACCUUUCUCGGCCUUUUGGCUAAGAUCAAGUGUAGUAUCUGUUCUUAUCAGUUGAAUAUCUGAUAUGUGGACCAUGUGUUCACUUCGAUAUUAAAUUUAUUUUUUGUGGGGGAGGGCUCACUACAGUCAAGUCUAAAUUAUU
rnacentral:snRNA from 1 species